GACAGCCGCCGGAGUUCCGCGAUGUACUCCGAUGUGGACUCAUUCUUUAGUUGAUUUCGUUUAUGAAAUCGGAAACGUUCGGCUAUAACCAGUGGCUUCGGUUGGAAAUGUUUUUGGAGCACUUCUGUGAUCUCCUUGAAACUUUUGUCAGCUGGUUUGAUCGGUGUGAUGAGGCUGCGCAACAAAUGCAUAUCCCAGUUCAGCCCAAACUUUAGCUGUCAGCCUCACGUUUGACUACAGUCAUGGUGCCCAGGUCCUAUUGCUACAAAUCAUUCCUAAAUCAUGAUCCCGCCUCACUGUGUUUCAUGAAGGGAACUAUCAGUGUCUGUCAUCUGUGGCUCAGCACUGUCAGCCCUACAGGACCACAGCCACAUAUGGAGGCAUCCAUCUCUGCAUCUCGGCCUUGCCUUCUGUUCUCCAUGCUGUGGAACAUGGCGCUCCCUCUGGCUGCAGGCGUUUUCACAUGGUGGCAAAAAUUGUCAAUUGUGGAGUUUUUAAAAAAAGGGAAAAAAAGCUGAGGACAGAAAUUGUUUAGGAUGUGGUCUAAAAUGCCGCAAUUCAGACGUGUGUAAGGAGUGUGUGUGUAAACAUGUCUAGUUUUGAUCUUGUUUGAAAGGUGUGGAUUAUUUAUAUAUACGUCUUUGCAUAUUACUUUGGAAGAAAUAGCAGUUUUAUCUUUCCUUUUUUUUGCACUAUAUUUAAAUAGUUUAACAGUUGCUACACUAAUUGGCAAUUAC
ensembl:lncRNA